UCAGUUACAACGUAAUCGUUAAAAGAGGGAUAAGAAAGAAGACGAGAGAUAUUUUGUGUUAUUAAUUUAUUUUGGAGUGAGCAAUUGUUCCGAGGAGAAAUGGAAGUUUUCGGCCAUUCAAAGAUUUACUAUUAAACAAUAAAGAGAAGAGAAACGAAUGAAGAAUUGUUUCCAGGAAAAAGGAUGAGUCGAGGAAUGCGUUUAACUUCUGUUUACAGAAGACUUAAUUGAAGGCAGUGAUAAGAAAUUAUACGAGAAUAUGAAGAAGGAAGAAUAUAUAUCAAGCAAAUGAAGAGAAACAGAAAUGAAAUGAAGAAGAUAUUUUAAAUAAUUUUCAAAUAUGUUAUUUUUUAAAAUACUCUUCAUAUAAGUUGUUUUGAGAUAAAUGUAUAAAGUACAUUAAUUUGUGAUAGUAUGUGUAUACUGCUUGGAAAUAUUUGCAAAUACUGGUGUAAGCAGUUUACGUAUGAUUUAUUGUUUGAUGUGGGGUGGUCCAGUUAGUUGUAAGGUAUCAAUUUUCGUUUAAAGAAUGUUGCUAGAAAGAAAAUUCUUUUUCUAUCUGCACACACACUCUAACAAUACUUUAAAAUCAGCGAUUAAUUUUAGAUAUUUACAUAUUCGAUUAGCAAUGAAGUGAAGAGAGUUUCGGUUUUAAUGCUCUUAUGAUAUUUUACAG